rnacentral:tmRNA from 1 species
GGGGGCGAUGUGGCUUCGACGUGGGUGGUGAAACCCGAGGUGCAUGCCGAGGUACAGUCAACCUCGUAAAAAAGGCUGAAAAAAAUAGUUGCCAACGACGACAACUACGCUCUGGCUGCUUGACGGCCAGCCUCUUACCGGAUUGUGCUUGUGCGAUCCGGAGCUUUGUAUCAUGCAGGGCGCUUAAGGGGUAACUUCACACAAGAUCGCAAUAAAGCUCUGUCCGGGGUGGAGUUGCUAAAACUUUUAGGACUCGCCGUGCGUUUUCCCUGUCUGCCGGGUGGCGAACGGUUAAAAAAUAAAGGCAAACUAAGCAUGUAGGACCAAAGGCGGAAUGCUUGCGGACGCGGGUUCGAUUCCCGCCGCCUCCACCA